UAAACUUGCUCCCUUGUCCAUGGAUAAUUUAUUAAGUUUUUUAGAAACAUGUGCUCCCCCAACUUUCUCCCCUAAAUUCUUUCCCGGCGUCUUUAAUUUUUCAACCCCUGAAAUUUAAGUGAAGCCCCCCUCCGUCGAGACGUCGUCGUUUGGGUUUUUAAGAUCCUUGAAGGAUAUUGCUGUGUAUCUGCUGGGGUUGAGGCCUCUGAUGGGAUCCCCAACUGAAACGUCGAUAAGUCCUUGCAACACUGAACUAGGUCGGGAUAAGGACUUUAUAGCACUACCAUUGUUACCGUUGGGAGUGGCUAAUUCUGAAUCUGUAAACCCAUCACCUCCAGCCUGACCCUUGAUUUCACUUUCAGUAACUGAUGCCUCCGAUUGAUGUUACCGAUUAGGAUUCUCCAGUAUUCGAUUAUGAAUAGUUAAAUCCUCCCUUGUCACUGGCCUAGUAGACUAACUACUCCCCUGACCUGGUUUAUUACCUAUCGUCGACCUGUUCACCCUAAGGUCCAAAGAAGAACCAUGGUUUAAGACCCUUACAGCAUGUUUGGUUGGGGGAAUAGGAAUGCAUUCCCCCCAAUUCAAUUAGCCUACCACCAAACGUGUGUUUGGUUAGCUGUAAUAGCAUUACAGCUUGAUUCUAUUCAGGCUCUAUUACAACCAUUGGCUGUAAUAGCCAUUCCUUCCUUUAAGCGCUGAAUAGGGAUUCCAUCUGAGUUUCUUUCCUAUUUUCCAUUUUCUGCCCUCAGCAUCUUCUCCUACGUUUCCUUCUUCUCCUACAUUUCCUUCUUUUCCAAAUCUUCUUCUAGAAUUUCUAAAUGGCGGAUUAAAUCGCGUUACUGUUGUUGAAUUAAUCUUUACGGUGAGUCUUGUCUGGUUUGUUUCUUUCAGUCUUUCUUCCUCUCUCUCUCUGUCGCUCUUCGUCUUCUACGAGGUAAGAUUUUCGUCAAUGGCCUUGCAUCAUCAGCGUUCAUUUUACUUUUUAAUCUCCAUCGUCUGCUAUUCAACUUUCUAAUCUUCAUUUCUAACUUUCUAAUCUUCAUCGUCUGCUAUUUAACUUCUGUUUCUUUUUUCAAAUACCCAAAUUUUAUUUUUGCUUAACGAAGCCCUAGGAGUGUUUUUGUUUUUUCUUUUAUUUCAGGCAUUGAAUUGAAGGGAUUCAAUCUGUCAAUUUUAGUUUUUGGUGAAAAUUAAAAUAUGGGGUCAUCAUCAGUAAUAACCCUAAAAGAUGUGUUGGAACCAUUGAUGAAUGAUGGAACCAUUGAUGCUCUCAAGUUGAAGAUUAUAAAUCAGCUAAAAGCCAAUGAGGAGCUGAAGAACACAACAAUCAAAAUGGCAGAGUAGAGUAAGGUCCUAAACACGUCUGGUGUGGAGAAACAGACCAAAAGAGAAUUGUUUGAUGCACUUAGGCAGGAGCUUGACUCAUGGUGACAAUUUUGCUACGAAAAGAAUGAGAAAGCUGACCCAAAGGAGAGCUGUUGAUUAUGCUAGUACUGUUGUGAGAUAUAUGGUUUGCCAGAAUUGUUGGGUAUUCGCACUAAUAUUGGAUUAAAGAGAAUGGAAGAGCUUGAUCCAAAGACUUUUCAUGACACUUGUAAGUCGCGAUUUCCUCCUGAUGAAGUAGAAAUUCAGGCCACUACUCUAUACUCAUCAUGGCAGGAGAAUCUGAAGAAUCCAUAUUGGCAUCCAAUUUUUAGGAGAAACUAACAAAUCUAAAGCUGGAAUGGGGUGAAAAGAUUUAUAAUGCAAUGGUAACAGCUUUGAAAGAACUCUUUUGUAUUAACUUAUUGUAGUAUGCUUGUAGUUGAAGUUUCUUAUAAUGAACAUCAUGUUGUUUAUUCGGCAGAAGUUUCAAAGAUUUUAGUUUUAGGAGAAAGUAUGUAAUGUGGUUAUUAGAUUGGGUUUUCAAAUAUGAUUAUGUUAACAUUUUGAUCAAACAUUAUGAACAGUUCCUUGUUAA